GUUGCUAUGAUGAGCUGUAUCAUGUAAGGAGAUCUUUCUCAGUUGAUUGAGCUUCAAUGAAAUUUGCAUCUUUACGCUUGGCUUCUGAGCUUA